UGCCUUACACAUGCAAGUCGAACGGCAGCACGGGGGGUAACCUCUGGUGGCGAGUGGCGAACGGGUGAGUAAUGUAUCGGAACGUACCCUGCAGCGGGGGAUAACGCGUCGAAAGAUGUGCUAAUACCGCAUACGCUCUACGGAGGAAAGCGGAGGACCGCAAGGCUUCGCACUGCAGGAGCGGCCGAUAUCGGAUUAGCUAGUUGGCGGGGUAACGGCCCACCAAGGCGACGAUCCGUAGCUGGUCUGAGAGGACGAUCAGCCACACUGGAACUGACACACGGUCCAGACUCCUACGGGAGGCAGCAGUGGGGAAUUUUGGACAAUGGGCGCAAGCCUGAUCCAGCCAUGCCGCGUGAGUGAAGAAGGCCUUCGGGUUGUAAAGCUC
rnacentral:rRNA from 1 species